UAGUGGCGAACGGGUGAGUAACACGUGGGCAAUCCUGCCCUGCACUCUGGGACAAGCCCUGGAAACGGGGUCUAAUACCGGAUACGAGCCUCCUCCGCAUGGUGGAGGUUGGAAAGCUCCGGCGGUGCAGGAUGAGCCCGCGGCCUAUCAGCUUGUUGGUGAGGUAACGGCUCACCAAGGCGACGACGGGUAGCCGGCCUGAGAGGGCGACCGGCCACACUGGGACUGAGACACGGCCCAGACUCCUACGGGAGGCAGCAGUGGGGAAUAUUGCACAAUGGGCGAAAGCCUGAUGCAGCGACGCCGCGUGAGGGAUGAAGGCCUUCGGGUUGUAAACCUCUUUCAGCAGGGAAGAAGCGAAAGUGACGGUACCUGCAGAAGAAGCGCCGGCUAACUACGUGCCAGCAGCCGCGGUAAUACGUAGGGCGCAAGCGUUGUCCGGAAUUAUUGGGCGUAAAGAGCUCGUAGGCGGCUUGUCGCGUCGGUUGUGAAAGCCCGGGGCUUAACCCCGGGUCUGCAGUCGAUACGGGCAGGCUAGAGUUCGGUAGGGGAGAUCGGAAUUCCU
rnacentral:rRNA from 1 species